AUUAGUCUAAUUGAAAAUGAGCAAACCGAUUAAAAGACUAAUAUGUUGUCUAUCAAGCCAAUUAGGGAGAUGUCUUGUUUUGAAUGUAACAAGCCCGAUUUGCCCGGCCCGUUAUACUAAACCAAACAAAAAAAUAAAUAAUAAAUUAGCCCAAAUGUCUAGGCCUAAAAUACAUGCCCAAUUACAACAAACCCCAAAAAAUAAAAAAUCCUAGCCCAAACAAAAACAAAAAGCAGAAACCUUAGCCCCCUUUCAGUAGCCGC
rnacentral:lncRNA from 1 species